UUGCUACUUGGAUACCUGUGGUAAUUCUAGAGCUAAUACAUGCUAAAAACCUCAACUUCGGAAGGGGUGUAUUUAUUAGAUAAAAAACCAAUGCCCUUCGGGGCUCCUUGGUGAUUCAUAAUAACUUAACGAAUCGCAUGGCCUUGCGCCGGCGAUGGUUCAUUCAAAUUUCUGCCCUAUCAACUUUCGAUGGUAGGAUAGUGGCCUACCAUGGUUUCUACGGGUAACGGGGAAUUAGGGUUCUAUUCCGGAGAGGGAGCCUGAGAAACGGCUACCACAUCCAAGGAAGGCAGCAGGCGCGCAAAUUACCCAAUCCCGACACGGGGAGGUAGCGACAAGAAAUACUGAUGCAGAGCUCUUUUGGGUUUUGCAAUUGGAAUGAGUACAAUUUAAACCCCUUGAACGUUAGGGGGUUUCCAGCACCAGUCAUUAGAAAUUCUAACGGCGACGCCCUCUCUGUCCGAAAAUUGCUCCCUGGGAGUAAGAUCCGGAACCCGAUUUCUUUCGGGUCCAGAGACUACAUUAGGGUGGGUGGCUUUGCGCCAUUUACAGUAUAGCCCAACCCUCUGGCUAUCGCCGGGGGUAAUUGUGUAACGAGGAACAAUUGGAGGGCAAGUCUGGUGCCAGCAGCCGCGGUAAUUCCAGCUCCAAUAGCGUAUAUUAAAGUUGUUGCAGUUAAAAAGCUCGUAGUUGAAACUUGGGCCUGGCUGGCCGGUCCGCCUCACCGCGUGCACUGGUCCGGCCGGGCCUUUCCUUCUGGGGAGCCGCAUGCCCUUCAUUGGGUGUGCCGGGGAACCAGGACUUUUACUUUGAAAAAAUUAGAGUGUUCAAAGCAGGCCUAUGCUCGAAUACAUUAGCAUGGAAUAAUAGAAUAGGACGUGUGGUUCUAUUUUGUUGGUUUCUAGGACCGCCGUAAUGAUUAAUAGGGAUAGUUGGGGUCAUCAGUAUUCAGCUGUCAGAGGUGAAAUUCUUGGAUUUGCUGAAGACUAACUACUGCGAAAGCAUUUGACAAAGAUGUUUUCAUUAAUCAGUGAACGAAAGUUAGGGGAUCGAAGACGAUCAGAUACCGUCGUAGUCUUAACCAUAAACUAUGCCGACUAGGGAUCGGACGGUGUUAUUAUUUUGACCCGUUCGGCACCUUACGAGAAAUCAAAGUUUUUGGGUUCUGGGGGGAGUAUGGUCGCAAGGCUGAAACUUAAAGACAUUGACGGAAGGGCACCACCAGGAAAAACGUAAAUGGCUCUUUUCGCCUGGUUAUGGGCCACUGCUCCCGAGCAGUGAGCCUUAGUCUCUCUCUCUCUGGGAGGCAAGGUCUCUGAUCUACGUGGNCUGUUUUCGGGGCUAUAUCCCCGCGAAACGUACCCGCAGCCGUCGCCUAAUCUNAUUCUUCAGGUGGCAGCGUUCGGCUCACAGGUCAANGCAGAGGUCGGCGGAACGUACUCGUCUCGCUCAUGAUAUGAUCGGCCCGGGGGCGGCAAGCCCCNUGGAAGCAGUGCGUGGAGCCUGCGGCUUAAUUUGACUCAACACGGGGAAACUCACCGGGUCCGGACAAAAUAAGGAUUGACAGAUUGAGAGCUCUUUCUUGAUCUUUUGGUUGGUGGCGCAUGGCCGUUUUUAGUUGGUGGAGUGAUUUGUNUGCUUAAUNGCGAUAACGAANGAGACCUUAACCUGCUAAAUAGCCCGGUCAGCUUUGGCUGCCCGCCGGCUUCUUAGAGGGACUAUCGGCUCAACCCGAUGNAAGUUUGAGGCANAAACACGUNUGUGAUGCCNUUAGAUGUUCCGGGCCGCACGCGCGCUACACUGACAGAGACAACGAGUAAAUCACCUUGGCCGAAAGGUUUGGGUAAUCUUGUUAAACUCUGUCGUGCUGGGGAUAGAGCAUUGCAAUUAUUGCUCUUCAACGAGGAAUGCCUAGUAAGCGCAAGUCAUCAGCUUGCGUUGAUUACGUCCCUGCCCUUUGUACACACCGCCCGUCGCUACUACCGAUUGAAUGGCUCAGUGAGGCCUUCGGACUGGCUCAGGGAGGUCGGCAACGACCACCCAGAGCCGGAAA
rnacentral:rRNA from 1 species